UCCUCGGUAGCUCAGCGGUAGAGCAGUCGACUGUUAAUCGACCGGUCGUAGGUUCGAAUCCUACCCGGGGAGCCA
rnacentral:tRNA from 3 species